rnacentral:tRNA from 1 species
GGGGUUGUAGCUCAGUGGUAGGUCACAUGCCUUGCAAGCAUGAGGCACUGGGUUUGAAUCUCAGUGUUUCA